AGUGAACGCUGGCGGUAGGCCUAACACAUGCAAGUCGAACGGCAGCACAGUAAGAGCUUGCUCUUACGGGUGGCGAGUGGCGGGCGGGUGAGGAAUACAUCGGAAUCUACUUUUUCGUGGGGGAUAACGUAGGGAAACUUACGCUAAUACCGCAUACGACCUACGGGUGAAAGCAGGGGAUCUUCGGACCUUUCGCGAUUGAAUGAGCCGAGGUCGGAUUAGCUAGUUGGCGAGGUAAAGGCCCACCAAGGCGACGAUCCGUAGCUGGUCUGAGAGGAUGAUCAGCCACACUGGAACUGAGACACGGUCCAGACUCCUACGGGAGGCAGCAGUGGGGAAUAUUGGACAAUGGGCGCAAGCCUGAUCCAGCCAUACCGCGUGGGUGAAGAAGGCCUUCGGGUUGUAAAGCCCUUUUGUUGGGAAAGAAAAGCAGCAGGUUAAUACCCCGCUGUUCCGACGGUACCCAAAGAAUAAGCACCGGCUAACUUCGUG
rnacentral:rRNA from 1 species